CAAGAAGGCUUGUGUUAUGGGUACUCAGACAACGAUAUAUAUGAUAUACAAAAAACACCCAUGACUCAGGAACAAAUAUCUGUGCUCAUCACACAAAUAAAUGCCUUUACCGGGAUUCGAACCCAGGACCAUCGGCUUCACAGGCAGGGUCACUACCCACUA